GUUUUUGUAUAUAACUAAUAUUAUUAUUGUAUUCUGAAUAGUUUUGUCUAGCUUUCAAUAACAAUGUUUCGUAGAAAGAUUUUUUCCAUUUUCCUCAACGCUGUGAUCAUUCAGAACAGUGUCUCCCAAAUACUACCCAUAGGCAGCGGCUGCGGUUGCCAGCAAAUGGCAGUACAGCAAAACCUGCCAGUACCCGUCCAGGGUUCCAACAACUGCGGCUGUAGAAACAAUGUACUGAAUCUACCGAAUGGCAUCCAAUACAACAACAAUCUACAACUCAAAAACCCAUGCGU